rnacentral:rRNA from 1 species
UGGGGAAUUUUGGACAAUGGGCGAAAGCCUGGUCCAGCCAUGCCGCGUGCAGGAUGAAGGCCUUCGGGUUGUAAACUGCUUUUGUACGGAACGAAAGACUCUGGUUAAUACCUGGGGUCCAUGACGGUACCGUAAGAAUAAGCACCGGCUAACUACGUGCCAGCAGCCGCGGUAAUACGUAGGGUGCAAGCGUUAAUCGGAAUUACUGGGCGUAAAGCGUGCGCAGGCGGUUAUAUAAGACAGAUGUGAAAUCCCCGGGCUCAACCUGGGAACUGCAUUUGUGACUGUAUAGCUNAGAGUACGGCAGGAGGGGGAUUGGAAUUCCGCGUGUACAGUGAAAUGCGUAGAUAUGCGGAGGAACACCGAUGGCGAAGGCAAUCCCCUGGGCCUGUACUGACGCUCAUGCACGAAAGCGUGGGGAGCAAACAGGAUUAGAUACCCUGGUAGUCCCACGCCCUAAACGAUGUCAACUGGUUGUUGGGUCUUCACUGACUCAGUAACGAAGCUAACGCGUGAAGUUGACCGCCUGGGGAGUACGGCCGCAAAGUUGAAACUUAAAUGAAUUGACGGGGGUCUAGCUGUUUCCUG